rnacentral:rRNA from 1 species
CCUACGGGUGGCAGCAGUGGGGAAUAUUGCACAAUGGGGGAAACCCUGAUGCAGCGACGCCGCGUGAGUGAAGAAGUAAUUCGUUAUGUAAAGCUCUAUCAGCAGGGAAGAAAAUGACGGUACCUGAGUAAGAAGCCCCGGCUAACUACGUGCCAGCAGCCGCGGUAAUACGUAGGGGGCAAGCAUUAACCGGAUUUACUGGGUGUAAAGGGGGCGUAGACGGCAGUGCAAGUCUUGGGUGAAAGGCGGGGACUCAACCCCCGGACUGCUCUGGAAACUGUACGGCUGGAGUGCAGGAGGGGUAAGUGGAAUUCCUAGUGUAGCGGUGAAAUGCGUAGAUAUUAGGCGGAACACCAGUGGCGAAGGCGGCUUACUGGACUGUAACUGACGUUGAGGCUCGAAAGCGUGGGGAGCAAACAGGAUUAGAUACCCGGGUAGUC